rnacentral:rRNA from 1 species
GUGCCAGCCGCCGCGGUAAGACAGAGGGCGCGAGCGUUGUUCGGAAUUACUGGGCGUAAAGCGCGUGCAGGCGGAUCUGCUAGUCCGUAAGUGAAAUCCCGCCGCUCAACGGCGGGGCUGCUUGGGAAACGGCAGGUCUGGGGACCGGUAGAGGUCGGUAGAAUUCCCGGUGUAGCGGUGGAAUGCGUAGAGAUCGGGAAGAAUACCCGUGGCGAAGGCGGCCGACUGGGCCGGAUCCGACGCUAAUACGCGAAAGCGUGGGGAGCAAACAGGAUUAGAUACCCUCGUAGUCC